rnacentral:hammerhead_ribozyme from 1 species
AAGCUGACGAGUCCCAAAUAGGACGAAACAUGCGUCCUGGAU